rnacentral:rRNA from 1 species
GAUGAACGCUGGCGGCGUGCCUAAUACAUGCAAGUCGAGCGAAUGGAUUAAGAGCUUGCUCUUAUGAAGUUAGCGGCGGACGGGUGAGUAACACGUGGGUAACCUGCCCAUAAGACUGGGAUAACUCCGGGAAACCGGGGCUAAUACCGGAUAACAUUUUGAACCGCAUGGUUCGAAAUCGAAAGGCGGCUUCGGCUGUCACUUAUGGAUGGACCCGCGUCGCAUUAGCUAGUUGGUGAGGUAACGGACCACCAAGGCAACGAUGCGUAGCCCCCCAGAGAGGGUGUGCGGCCACCACGGGACUGAGACGCGGCCCGAGCUCGUACGGGAGGAAGCAGUAGGGAAUCUUCCGCAAAGGACGAAGGUCUGAAGGAGCAACGCCGCUUGGGUGAUGAGGGCUUUCGGGUCGUAAAACUCUGUUGUUAGGGAAGAACAAGUGCUAGUUGAAUAAGCUGGCACCUUGACGGUACCUAACCAGAAAGCCACGGCUAACUACGUGCCAGCAGCCGCCGUAA